AGCUCUUGGAUCGCAAAAUCGAAUUUCCACAUCCAACUGAAGAAGCAAGAGCUCGAAUCUUGCAGAUCCACUCAAGGAAGAUGAACGUCCAUCCUGAUGUGAACUUUGAAGAGCUUGCUCGUUCCACGGAUGAUUUCAAUGGGGCACAGCUAAAGGCAGUUUGUGUUGAAGCUGGGAUGCUAGCACUUCGCCGGGAUGCAACUGAGGUGAACCAUGAGGAUUUUAAUGAAGGUAUCAUCCAAGUGCAAGCGAAGAAAAAAGCCAGCCUUAACUACUACGCAUAAACUAGCUAUAAAGCCACGUCGUGUAACCCUUUUCCCUUCUAUUUUUUUUUGUAAUUUCAGAAGAUGAAUUUUUUCUGUUAUUUUUUUUUGCCCUGUGGUGUGUUGUAGUGAAGAGUAAGAGCAUGAUCAAUUUUGAUUAUGUUCAUUAAAUGCACUUCCGUUAUGAGAAAAUUGACAUAUUAAUAUCUAUAUCAGGAUCUAGAUGAUUAAUGACGUGA